UGAACGCUGGCGGCAGGCCUAACACAUGCAAGUCGAGCGGUANCACAGAGAGCUUGCUCUCGGGUGACGAGCGGCGGACGGGUGAGUAAUGUCUGGGAAACUGCCUGAUGGAGGGGGAUAACUACUGGAAACGGUAGCUAAUACCGCAUAACGUCGCAAGACCAAAGUGGGGGACCUUCGGGCCUCAUGCCAUCAGAUGUGCCCAGAUGGGAUUAGCUAGUAGGUGGGGUAAUGGCUCACCUAGGCGACGAUCCCUAGCUGGUCUGAGAGGAUGACCAGCCACACUGGAACUGAGACACGGUCCAGACUCCUACGGGAGGCAGCAGUGGGGAAUAUUGCACAAUGGGCGCAAGCCUGAUGCAGCCAUGCCGCGUGUAUGAAGAAGGCCUUCGGGUUGUAAAGUACUUUCAGCGAGGAGGAAGGCGUUAAGGUUAAUAACCUUAGCGAUUGACGUUACUCGCAGAAGAAGCACCGGCUAACUCCGUGCCAGCAGCCGCGGUAAUACGGAGGGUGCAAGCGUUAAUCGGAAUUACUGGGCGUAAAGCGCACGCAGGCGGUCUGUCAAGUCGGAUGUGAAAUCCCCGGGCUCAACCUGGGAACUGCAUUCGAAACUGGCAGGCUAGAGUCUUGUAGAGGGGGGUAGAAUUCCAGGUGUAGCGGUGAAAUGCGUAGAGAUCUGGAGGAAUACCGGUGGCGAAGGCGGCCCCCUGGACAAAGACUGACGCUCAGGUGCGAAAGCGUGGGGAGCAAACAGGAUUAGAUACCCUGGUAGUCCACGCCGUAAACGAUGUCGACUUGGAGGUUGUGCCCUUGAGGCGUGGCUUCCGGAGCUAACGCGUUAAGUCGACCGCCUGGGGAGUACGGCCGCAAGGUUAAAACUCAAAUGAAUUGACGGGGGCCCGCACAAGCGGUGGAGCAUGUGGUUUAAUUCGAUGCAACGCGAAGAACCUUACCUACUCUUGACAUCCAGAGAACUUAGCAGAGAUGCUUUGGUGCCUUCGGGAACUCUGAGACAGGUGCUGCAUGGCUGUCGUCAGCUCGUGUUGUGAAAUGUUGGGUUAAGUCCCGCAACGAGCGCAACCCUUAUCCUUUGUUGCCAGCGGUUAGGCCGGGAACUCAAAGGAGACUGCCAGUGAUAAACUGGAGGAAGGUGGGGAUGACGUCAAGUCAUCAUGGCCCUUACGAGUAGGGCUACACACGUGCUACAAUGGCAUAUACAAAGAGAAGCGACCUCGCGAGAGCAAGCGGACCUCAUAAAGUAUGUCGUAGUCCGGAUUGGAGUCUGCAACUCGACUCCAUGAAGUCGGAAUCGCUAGUAAUCGUAGAUCAGAAUGCUACGGUGAAUACGUUCCCGGGCCUUGUACACACCGCCCGUCACACCAUGGGAGUGGGUUGCAAAAGAAGUAGGUAGCUUAACCUUCGGGAGGGCGCUUACCACUUUGUGAUUCAUGACUGGGGUGAAGUCGUAACAAGGUAACCGUAGGGGAACCUGCGGCUGGAUCACCUCCUU
rnacentral:rRNA from 1 species